AUUGAACGCUGGCGGCAUGCCUUACACAUGCAAGUCGAACGGCAGCAUGAUCUAGCUUGCUAGAUUGAUGGCGAGUGGCGAACGGGUGAGUAAUACAUCGGAACGUGCCCUGUAGUGGGGGAUAACUAGUCGAAAGAUUAGCUAAUACCGCAUACGACCUGAGGGUGAAAGUGGGGGACCGCAAGGCCUCAUGCUAUAGGAGCGGCCGAUGUCUGAUUAGCUAGUUGGUGAGGUAAAGGCUCACCAAGGCGACGAUCAGUAGCUGGUCUGAGAGGACGAUCAGCCACACUGGGACUGAGACACGGCCCAGACUCCUACGGGAGGCAGCAGUGGGGAAUUUUGGACAAUGGGCGGAAGCCUGAUCCAGCAAUGCCGCGUGUGUGAAGAAGGCCUUCGGGUUGUAAAGCACUUUUGUCCGGAAAGAAAUGGCUCUGGUUAAUACCUGGGGUAGAUGACGGUACCGGAAGAAUAAGGACCGGCUAACUACGUG
rnacentral:rRNA from 1 species